UAAAAACUAGAAAAUAAUCAAACAAUUUUCUUUUUGUUACAUCUAAAGGAGAAGAAACAUGACUACAAUUCUCAAGUUUGCUUAUGUUAUGAUCAUAUGUCUUUUUCUGCUUCAGGUUGCAGCCCAAGAAGUUUUAGAAAAAGAAAUUUUUCGCUGCCAGACAGACGGAGAAUGUGAUCACAUGUGUGUCACACCUGGCAUUCCAAAGUGUGUUGCGAAUAUGUGUUUCUGCUUUGACAAUUUAUAAAUGUAAUAUAGUUUGCUAUAAACUUAUAACAAGAUAUAGGGAGGAGAGUAAAAACGUCACUGCAUGCAGAAUUUCAAAUGAAUUGUAAUAAAUAAAGAUGUAAUCAUAUGAAAUAAUUAUUAAAUAAAGAUAACAUGAUUAUCACAUAAUUA